AGGGCUGUAGCUCAGUUGGUAGAGCACCUCGUUUACACUACGGUUCGAGCCCGUAUAGCCCUA
rnacentral:tRNA from 1 species